GCGACCGUCGAGGCGAAGCGCAUCUCGCGAUGGGAACGACCCUCGGCCUCAUGAGCCGGUGGUCGGCGGCGAAUCACGCCUGGCUGACCGCCUGGUCGCG
rnacentral:tRNA from 1 species